UUGAAGGUUGGGUAACACUAACUGGAGGACCGAACCGACUAAUGUUGAAAAAUUAGCGGAUGACCUGUGGCUGGGGGUGAAAGGCCAAUCAAACCGGGAGAUAGCUGGUUCUCCCCGAAAGCUAUUUAGGUAGCGCCUCGUGAAUUCAUCUCCGGGGGUAGAGCACUGUUUCGGCUAGGGGGCCAUCCCGGCUUACCAACCCGAUGCAAACUGCGAAUACCGGAGAAUGUUAUCACGGGAGACACACGGCGGGUGCUAACGUCCGUCGUGAAGAGGGAAACAACCCAGACCGCCAGCUAAGGUCCCAAAGUCAUGGUUAAGUGGGAAACGAUGUGGGAAGGCCCAGACAGCCAGGAUGUUGGCUUAGAAGCAGCCAUCAUUUAAAGAAAGCGUAAUAGCUCACUGGUCGAGUCGGCCUGCGCGGAAGAUGUAACGGGGCUAAACCAUGCACCGAAGCUGCGGCAGCGACACUGUGUGUUGUUGGGUAGGGGAGCGUUCUGUAAGCCUGUGAAGGUGUGUCGUGAGGCAUGCUGGAGGUAUCAGAAGUGCGAAUGCUGACAUAAGUAACGAUAAAGCGGGUGAAAAGCCCGCUCGCCGGAAGACCAAGGGUUCCUGUCCAACGUUAAUCGGGGCAGGGUGAGUCGACCCCUAAGGCGAGGCCGAAAGGCGUAGUCGAUGGGAAACGGGUUAAUAUUCCCGUACUUGGUGUUACUGCGAAGGGGGGACGGAGAAGGCUAUGUUGGCCGGGCGACGGUUGUCCCGGUUUAAGCGUGUAGGUGUGUGUUCCAGGUAAAUCCGGUUCACUUUAACACUGAGGCGUGACGACGAGGCACUACGGUGCUGAAGCAACAAAUGCCCUGCUUCCAGGAAAAGCCUCUAAGCAUCAGGUAACAUCAAAUCGUACCCCAAACCGACACAGGUGGUCAGGUAGAGAAUACCAAGGCGCUUGAGAGAACUCGGGUGAAGGAACUAGGCAAAAUGGUGCCGUAACUUCGGGAGAAGGCACGCUGACACGUAGGUGAAGUGAUUUACUCAUGGAGCUGAAGUCAGUCGAAGAUACCAGCUGGCUGCAACUGUUUAUUAAAAACACAGCACUGUGCAAACACGAAAGUGGACGUAUACGGUGUGACGCCUGCCCGGUGCCGGAAGGUUAAUUGAUGGGGUCAGCGCAAGCGAAGCUCCUGAUCGAAGCCCCGGUAAACGGCGGCCGUAACUAUAACGGUCCUAAGGUAGCGAAAUUCCUUGUCGGGUAAGUUCCGACCUGCACGAAUGGCGUAAUGAUGGCCAGGCUGUCUCCACCCGAGACUCAGUGAAAUUGAACUCGCUGUGAAGAUGCAGUGUACCCGCGGCAAGACGGAAAGACCCCGUGAACCUUUACUAUAGCUUGACACUGAACAUUGAGCCUUGAUGUGUAGGAUAGGUGGGAGGCUUUGAAGUGUGGACGCCAGUCUGCAUGGAGCCGACCUUGAAAUACCACCCUUUAAUGUUUGAUGUUCUAACGUGGACCCGUUACCCGGGUUGCGGACAGUGUCUGGUGGGUAGUUUGACUGGGGCGGUCUCCUCCUAAAGAGUAACGGAGGAGCACGAAGGUUGGCUAAUCCUGGUCGGACAUCAGGAGGUUAGUGCAAUGGCAUAAGCCAGCUUGACUGCGAGCGUGACGGCGCGAGCAGGUGCGAAAGCAGGUCAUAGUGAUCCGGUGGUUCUGAAUGGAAGGGCCAUCGCUCAACGGAUAAAAGGUACUCCGGGGAUAACAGGCUGAUACCGCCCAAGAGUUCAUAUCGACGGCGGUGUUUGGCACCUCGAUGUCGGCUCAUCACAUCCUGGGGCUGAAGUAGGUCCCAAGGGUAUGGCUGUUCGCCAUUUAAAGUGGUACGCGAGCUGGGUUUAGAACGUCGUGAGACAGUUCGGUCCCUAUCUGCCGUGGGCGCUGGAGAACUGAGGGGGGCUGCUCCUAGUACGAGAGGACCGGAGUGGACGCAUCACUGGUGUUCGGGUUGUCAUGCCAAUGGCACUGCCCGGUAGCUAAAUGCGGAAGAGAUAAGUGCUGAAAGCAUCUAAGCACGAAACUUGCCCCGA
rnacentral:rRNA from 3 species